UUUAACCUUUGACCUCUAUUAACAGGUGUUUAUGACCUUUGACCUCUAUUAACAGGUGUUUAUGAUCUUUGACCUCUAUUCACAGGUGUUUAUAACCUUUGACCUCUAUUAACAGGUGUUUAUGACCUUUGACCUCUAUUAACAGGUGUUUAUAACCUUUGACCUCUAUUAACAGGUGUUUAUAACCUUUAACCUCUAUUAACAGGUGUUUAUGACCUUUGACCU